GGGAAAAAUUGUUGUGCUGGAUUCUGGUGGUCAGGCUCUACUAUUCAAGGGUUAUGGGUUUUACUAUCGUAGUAAUCUGAGAAAUGGGCUGAUGCGAUAUGGUUGUAAAAAAUAUAAAUGUAAUGCUUACGUUCACGUUGACAGUCGGCACCGGGUUGUAAUGGAGUCCAGCCAAGGUCAUAACCACGCCCCAGAAAAAUAUAUACAAUCAAAAAGUGGAA